rnacentral:rRNA from 1 species
GAUGAACGCUGGCGGCGUGCCUAAUACAUGCAAGUCGAGCGAACAGACGAGGAGCUUGCUCCUUUGACGUUAGCGGCGGACGGGUGAGUAACACGUGGAUAACCUACCUAUAAGACUGGGAUAACUUCGGGAAACCGGAGCUAAUACCGGAUAAUAUAUUGAACCGCAUGGUUCAAUAGUGAAAGACGGUUUUGCUGUCACUUAUAGAUGGAUCCGCGCCGCAUUAGCUGGUUGGUAAGGUAACGGCUUAGCAAGGCAACGAUGCGUAGACGACCUGAGGGGGGGAUAGGCCACCUUGGAGGUGGAACGGGGUCAAGGGUCCUGCGAGAGGCAGCAGUAUGGAAUCGUCGGCAGUGGGCGGAAGCCUGACGGAGCGGCGCCGCGUGAGUGAUGGAGGUGUUGGGAGCGGAAAACUCUGUUAUGAGGGAAAAACAAAUGUGUAAGGAACUAUAGCCGGAUUGACGGUAACGAGUCAGAAAGCCACGGCUAACUACGUG